rnacentral:rRNA from 1 species
GUAGGUGGCAAGCGUUGUCCGGAAUUAUUGGGCGUAAAGCGCGCGCAGGCGGUUCUUUAAGUCUGAUGUGAAAGCCCACGGCUCAACCGUGGAGGGUCAUUGGAAACUGGAGAACUUGAGUACAGAAGAGGAAAGCGGAAUUCCACGUGUAGCGGUGAAAUGCGUAGAGAUGUGGAGGAACACCAGUGGCGAAGGCGGCUUUCUGGUCUGUAACUGACGCUGAGGCGCGAAAGCGUGGGGAGCAAACAGGGAUUAGAUACCCUGGUAGUCCACGCCGUAAACGAUGAGUGCUAAGUGUUAGGGGGGUUUCCGCCCCCUUAGUGCUGCAGCUAACGCAUUAAGCACUCCGCCUGGGGAGUACGGCCGCAUGGCUG